GAUGAACGCUGGCGGUAUGCUUAACACACGCAAGUCGAACGGACUCUUCGGAGUUAGUGGCGGACGGGUGAGUAACGCGUGAGAAUCUGGCUUUGGGUUCGGGACAACCACUGGAAACGGUGGCUAAUACCGGAUGUGCCGAGAGGUAAAAGAGAAAUUGCCUGAAGAUGAGCUCGCGUCUGAUUAGCUAGUUGGUGAGGUAAAGGCUCACCAAGGCAGCGAUCAGUAGCUGGUCUGAGAGGAUGACCAGCCACACUGGGACUGAGACACGGCCCAGACUCCUACGGGAGGCAGCAGUGGGGAAUUGUCCGCAAUGGGCGAAAGCCUGACGGAGCAAUACCGCGUGAGGGAAGAAGGCUCUUGGGUUGUAAACCUCUUUUCUUAGGGAAGAACAAAAUGACGGUACCUAAGGAAUCAGCAUCGGCUAACUCCGUG
rnacentral:rRNA from 1 species